rnacentral:rRNA from 1 species
UACAGAGACUGCAAGCGUUAUUCGGAUUCACUGGGCGUAAAGGGUGCGCAGGCGGCCGUGUGUGUAAGGUGUGAAAUCCCGGGGCUCAACCCCGGAACUGCGCCUUAAACUACAUGGCUAGAGUACUGGAGAGGGUAACGGAAUUCACGGUGUAGCAGUGAAAUGCGUAGAUAUCGGGAGGAACACCAGAGGCGAAGGCGGUUACCUGGACAGUUACUGACGCUGAGGCGCGAAAGCAUGGGGAGCAAACAGG